GGCGCGGUACGCAAACUGGCAAAGCGACGAAGUUCAAACCUUCGUGAUGUUGUUUGUGGGUUCGACUCCCACCCGUGCUA
rnacentral:tRNA from 1 species